rnacentral:rRNA from 1 species
GGAGGUAGAGCACUGAAUGUCCUAGGGGGUAUUGCACUUACCGAAGACUAUCAAACUCCGAAUGCCGUUUUCUUUUACUUGGGAGUCAGACUGUGGGUGAUAAGAUUCAUAGUCAAAAGGGCAACAGCCCAGAUCGUCAGCUAAGGUCCCUAAAUGUACGUUAAGUGGUAAAGGAUGUGGGAUUGCACAGACAACCAGGAUGUUGGCUUAGAAGCAGCCACUCAUUUAAAGAGUGCGUAAUAGCUCACUGGUCGAGUGAUCCUGCGCCGAAAAUUUCCGGGGCUAAAACGUACUACCGAAGCUACGGCAUCAUUUAUGAUGGGUAGGGGAGCUUCGUAUGCAGGCUGAAGCAUGACCGUAAGGACAUGUGGACAGUAUACGAGUGAGAAUGUUGGCAUGAGUAGCGAGACGUGGGUGAGAAUCCCACGGGCCGUAAACCCAAGGUUUCCAGGGGAAGGUUCGUCCGCCCUGGGUUAGUCGGGACCUAAGCCGAGGCCGAAAGGCGUAGGUGAUGGACAACAGGUUGAUAUUCCUGUACCGCCAAUAAGCGUUUGAGAGAUGGAGUGACACAGUAGGAUAAGCUAACCGUACUGUUGGUUAUGUACGGCUAAGCAUUGAGGCAGUCUAAAUAGGCAAAUCCGUUUGGACAAUGCUAGGAUGUGAUGGGGAAGCCCUUCGGGGCGAAGUAGCUGAUUUCACACUGUCAAGAAAAGCUUCUAUCGAGUUUAAAGGCGCCCGUACCGUAAACCGACACAGGUGGGUGAGGAGAGUAUCCUAAGGCCAGCGAGAGAACUAUUGUUAAGGAACUCGGCAAAAUGACCCCGUAACUUAGGGAGAAGGGGUGCCUGUCUAUGACAGGCCGCAGAGAAUAGGCCCAAGCGACUGUUUACCAAAAACACAGGUUUCUGCUAAGUCGCAAGACGAUGUAUAGGAGCUGACGCCUGCCCGGUGCUGGAAGGUUAAGGGGAUCUGUUAGAGCAAUCGAAGCAGUGAACUUAAGCCCCAGUAAACGGCGGCCGUAACUAUAACGGUCCUAAGGUAGCGAAAUUCCUUGUCGGGUAAGUUCCGACCCGCACGAAAGGCGUAACGAUUUGGGCACUGUCUCAACAAUAGACUCGGUGAAAUUGUAAUCCCGGUGAAGAUGCCGGGUACCUGCGACAGGACGGAAAGACCCCAUGGAGCUUUACUGUAGCUUGACGUUGGGUCUUGGUACUACAUGUACAGGAUAGGUGGGAGACUAUGAAGCAUGGACGCCAGUCUGUGUGGAGUCAUCCUUGGGAUACCACCCUUGUAGUACUGGGAUCCUAACCAUAGGCCUUGAAUCAGGUCUUGGAACACCGUCAGGUGGGCAGUUUGACUGGGGCGGUCGCCUCCUAAAAAGUAACGGAGGCGCUCAAAGGUUUCCUCAGCACGGUCGGAAAUCGUGCGAAGAGUGUAAAGGCAAAAGGAAGCUUGAUUGCAAGACAUACAGGUCGAGCAAGGACGAAAGUCGGACUUAGUGAUCCGGUGGUACCGCAUGGAAGGGCCAUCGCUCAACGGAUAAAAGCUACCCUGGGGAUAACAGGCUUAUCUCCCCCAAGAGUUCACAUCGACGGGGAGGUUUGGCACCUCGAUGUCGGCUCAUCGCAUCCUGG